GCCCGGGUGGCUCAGUCGGUUGAGCGUCCGACUUCGGCUCGGGGCGUGAUCUCGCGGUCUGUGAGUUCGAGCCCCGCAUCGGGCU
rnacentral:tRNA from 1 species